AGCACGGGAGCAAUCCUGGUGGCGAGUGGCGAACGGGUGAGUAAUGUAUCGGAACGUACCUUUCAGUGGGGGAUAACGUAGCGAAAGUUACGCUAAUACCGCAUAUUCUGUGAGCAGGAAAGCAGGGGAUCGCAAGACCUUGCGCUGAUUGAGCGGCCGAUAUCAGAUUAGCUAGUUGGUGAGGUAAAGGCUCACCAAGGCGACGAUCUGUAGCGGGUCUGAGAGGAUGAUCCGCCACACUGGAACUGAGACACGGUCCAGACUCCUACGGGAGGCAGCAGUGGGGAAUUUUGGACAAUGGGGGCAACCCUGAUCCAGCCAUGCCGCGUGAGUGAAGAAGGCCUUCGGGUUGUAAAGCUCUUUCAGCCGGGAAGAAAACGCAUGGGUUAAUACCCUGUGUGGAUGACGGUACCGGAAUAAGAAGCACCGGCUAACUACGUGCCAGCAGCCGCGGUAAUACGUAGGGUGCGAGCGUUAAUCGGAAUUACUGGGCGUAAAGCGUGCGCAGGCGGUUUGUUAAGAUAGGCGUGAAAUCCCCGGGCUCAACCUGGGAACUGCGUUUAUGACUGGCAGGCUAGAGUAUGGCAGAGGGGGGUGGAAUUCCACGUGUAGCAGUGAAAUGCGUAGAGAUGUGGAGGAACACCGAUGGCGAAGGCAGCCCCCUGGGCCAAUACUGACGCUCAUGCACGAAAGCGUGGGUAGCAAACAGGAUUAGAUACCCUGGUAGUCCACGCCCUAAACGAUGUCAACUAGGUGUUGGGUGGGUAAAACCAUUUAGUACCGGAGCUAACGCGUGAAGU
rnacentral:rRNA from 1 species